AGUGAACGCUGGCGGUAGGCCUAACACAUGCAAGUCGAACGGCAGCACAGUAAGAGCUUGCUCUUACGGGUGUCGAGUGGCGGACGGGUGAGUAAUACAUCGGAAUCUACUUUUUCGUGGGGGAUAACGUAGGGAAACUUACGCUAAUACCGCAUACGACCUACUGGUGAAAGCAGGGGAUCUUCGGACCUUGCGCGAUUGAAUGAGCCGAUGUCGGAUUAGCUAGUUGGCGGGGUAAAGGCCCACCAAGGCGACGAUCCGUAGCUGGUCUGAGAGGAUGAUCAGCCACACUGGAACUGAGACACGGUCCAGACUCCUACGGGAGGCAGCAGUGGGGAAUAUUGGACAAUGGGCGCAAGCCUGAUCCAGCCAUACCGCGUGGGUGAAGAAGGCCUUCUGGUUUUAAAGCCCUUUUGUUGGGAAAGAUAAGCAGCAGGUUAAUACCCCGCUGUUCUGACGGUACCCAAAGAAUAAGCACCGGCUAACUUCGUG
rnacentral:rRNA from 1 species